UAUAUAUAAAACUCAAGAGUGGGCUGGUUUGCUUCUGGAAGCACGGAGCCCUCCGUGCUUUCAAGUUGUUUUCGAUGUUCGGACUUUUGAAUCGACGAUCGGCUCCGUUAGAGUUGAUCUAGAGUAUUUGAAGUACCUAGAAAAUAAAUUUUGUGAUUUUUCGAUAUCAUUUGCCUAGUGAUCGAAGGGGCUCAAAAUCAAUAAUUUUAAUGACCGUGGUGAGCCGUUUGCAAGUUUAACGGUGUAGAAAUAUUCAAAUCAUAUGAAAUUUUGAUAGAAGAUUCUUUAUACCAUAUAAAACAAGAUUAAUAACUUUGAUCUAAAAUUUUAAUGUCAUAUCAUCAUAUUUUGUAAGAUUUUUAUUUUCAGCCGCUGAUUUUUGUGAAACAACCGUUGUACUCUAAAAGCUUAAGCUGUUAGAGAACGAUUUUUAAACAUUUUUAUAUUUAACGCUCCCCCUCACGUCUGGGCUCGAGACUUUUUUUUAAUCGGCCCAUGACGUGAGUUUGAAUUAAAUGGGAGGAAAUUAAUAUGCUAGGAGCCUAGCGUGGCUCGAACUCAGGACCUCCUGCUCUGAUACCAUGUGAAACAACCGUUGUACGUACUCUAAAAGGUUAAGCUGUUAGAGAACGAUGUUUAAACAUUUUUAUAUUAAACAAUUUUGAGCCACUUCAAUCACUAGGCAAAUGAUAUCGAAAAAUAGCAAAAUUUAUUUUCUAAAUACUUCAAAUACUCUAGAUCAAAUCUAACGGAGCCGAUCGUCGAUUCGAAAGUCCGAACAUCGAAAACAACUUGGAAGCACGGAGCGCUCCGUGCUUCCAGAAGCAUACCAGACGCACUCUCUAACUCAAUAUAUUAAACCCUAAUUUGAUCCUCUUUUAACUAACUCAACCAAAAAUCAGUUCCCUUUU
rnacentral:lncRNA from 1 species